rnacentral:rRNA from 1 species
AGUCAAGAUGAGAAUUCUAAGGUGAGCGAGCGAACUCUCGUUAAGGAACUCGGCAAAAUGACCCCGUAACUUCGGGAGAAGGGGUGCUCUUUAGGGUUAACGCCCAGAAGAGCCGCAGUGAAUAGGCCCAAGCGACUGUUUAUCAAAAACACAGGUCUCUGCUAAACCGUAAGGUGAUGUAUAGGGGCUGACGCCUGCCCGGUGCUGGAAGGUUAAGAGGAGUGGUUAGCUUCUGCGAAGCUACGAAUCGAAGCCCCAGUAAACGGCGGCCGUAACUAUAACGGUCCUAAGGUAGCGAAAUUCCUUGUCGGGUAAGUUCCGACCCGCACGAAAGGCGUAACGAUUUGGGCACUGUCUCAACGAGAGACUCGGUGAAAUCAUAGUACCUGUGAAGAUGCAGGUUACCCGCGACAGGACGGAAAGACCCCGUGGAGCUUUACUGUAGCCUGAUAUUGAAAUUCGGCACAGCUUGUACAGGAUAGGUAGGAGCCUUUGAAACGUGAGCGCUAGCUUACGUGGAGGCGCUGGUGGGAUACUACCCUAGCUGUGUUGGCUUUCUAACCCGCACCACUUAUCGUGGUGGGAGACAGUGUCAGGCGGGCAGUUUGACUGGGGCGGUCGCCUCCUAAAAGGUAACGGAGGCGCUCAAAGGUUCCCUCAGAAUGGUUGGAAAUCAUUCAUAGAGUGUAAAGGCAUAAGGGAGCUUGACUGCGAGACCUACAAGUCGAGCAGGGUCGAAAGACGGACUUAGUGAUCCGGUGGUUCCGCAUGGAAGGGCCAUCGCUCAACGGAUAAAAGCUACCCCGGGGAUAACAGGCUUAUCUCCCCCAAGAGUUCACAUCGACGGGGAGGUUUGGCACCUCGAUGUCGGCUCAUCGCAUCCUGGGGCUGUAGUCGGUCCCAAGGGUUGGGCUGUUCGCCCAUUAAAGCGGUACGCGAGCUGGGUUCAGAACGUCGUGAGACAGUUCGGUCCCUAUCCGUCGUGGGCGUAGGAAAUUUGAGAGGAGCUGUCCUUAGUACGAGAGGACCGGGAUGGACAUACCUCUGGUGUACCAGUUGUCGUGCCAACGGCAUAGCUGGGUAGCUAUGUGUGGACGGGAUAAGUGCUGAAAGCAUCUAAGCAUGAAGCCCCCCUCAAGAUGAGAUUUCCCAACUUCGGUUAUAAGAUCCCUCAAAGAUGAUGAGGUUAAUAGGUUCGAGGUGGAAGCAUGGUGACAUGUGGAGCUGACGAAUACUAAUCGAUCGAAGACUUAAUCAA